CAAUAGCGUAUAUUAAAGUUGUUGCAGUUAAAAAGCUCGUAGUUGGAUUUCUGGUUGAAGCGACCGGUCGGGCGUUGAUUCGUCUGCACUGGAGUCGGUUUUGGCCAUCCUCUAGGAAAGUGCGUCUGGUAUUAAGUUAUCGGGCGUAUGAUCCUGGUCUUUUACUGUGAAAAAAUUAGAGUGUUUAAAGCAGGCCUUCGCCUUGAAUACAUUAGCAUGGAAUAAUAAGAUAGGACUUUGGUCUAUUUUGUUGGUUUGCAGACCGAAGUAAUGAUUAAUAGGGAUAGUUGGGGGUAUUUAUAUUCCGAUGUCAGAGGUGAAAUUCUUAGAUUUUCGGAAGAUAAACUUAUGCGAAAGCAUUUACCAAGGAUGGUUNCAUUA
rnacentral:rRNA from 1 species